AGGUUCAUUUUUUUUAUUCUUCAUUUGAAUGGACAUUCUCCUGUAAUCUCUUUUAUGCUCUUACACUUUCCUUCAUCAUCUCAUCAUCUUCCUCUCUUGUAAUGGCGAUAGUUUAUAUGAAAUGUAUAAUUGUAAAGAAAUGUUUCAAAAUGUAAUAACAUGGAAUGAAAUGGUGAAUUACUGAAGUAGAGUGAAAAAAUGUUGCUCUGAAAAGGAAUGAAAAGGAAGGAGAAAAUGAUAGUAAUGAUGAAAAGGAGGUUCGAAGGGUUUUCAUAACAAAAAGUAAUACAAUUUGUUAAAUAAUAACGGUAAUCGAUAAAAUGGUGAGUCCAGAAAAGAUGAUUUUGUGAAAAUUGGAAAUAAGAAUUGGUUGUUGACAAGUUGAUCAGAAUAACAAGAAUCAUCUGUUAACAUUGUUCACAUUUCUUGUUAUUAUUAUCAUCGCAAGAAUCAGGUUAUUGAAGGUUACUUGUGUGGUCAACAAAUUAUACUCAUCAUCGUCACACAACACUGAGAAUCAAGCUUUUGACCGUCAACAAAUUAUACCUUUUAAUGUCCUUUAAUCAUCAAGUCUAUCACUUAACUUGCAAUUAAAGUGAUUCACAUUUUUAAAUCAAACCGUUUAUCAGCUAUAAAUGCCGUCAAACUUUGUCCCAAUAUUUUCAGUUGUUGCACAGUUUAAUUCAUUCGAAGUCAUUUCAUGGUAAGCCUUAAAUUUGAAAAUGAUUCAAUGUAAGGUCAGAUUUUAUUUACUUUUCCUAUUAUCGAAUCUCGCGCUUUUAUCAAUUCGGCUUACGCAGCUAAGCUGUUUAGCUUAAUUCCUUGGCUGAUCCGCAAUUUCCCUCUAAUAGUCAAACAUGUGUUUUCCUCUAAAUAUGUAUUUGUAACAAAAUUUUUGUCAAUAAUUUUUGUUUCUUUUGUAAAUUGUAUUUUCAACAUUGCAUUGAGCUUAGUGAUUAAAUUUUCUAUGACUUAUGUGCUGUCAAAUUUAAUUUAAUAAUGUUAACAGAGUUUAAUGUUUGCCUUCAAUUAACCUACACUUGGUUAUGACUCGUUUCCCUGUCGUUGGCCUUUGAUUGGCCUCAUCAAAAUGUUCCCAACUGCAAGAUGUUAUUGAUUUUAUUGAAGAACUGUCAGAUAAUUAUAUUUCCAGAAGCUGCUGCAAAAUGGUAGUUACCUUGAAAAGAAUGGUAAUAAUUUUUCAUCUUCUUACCUUGGCUAAUUGUUAUUUAUCCAGCUUUUAUGACUGCUUGUAUUAUCUUGGUUUGGAAAUGAGAUUAUUAAUAAUUUCUGUGCAGAUCACCGAAUCAAAUCGAGAAAGAGGGUCAACAUGAUAUAUUCAAUACCACCAUAAUCACUGCUAUCUAACAUUAAACCUUGAUUGUUCUCGUCGCAA